GCGGGCCUGGCCUGCGGGGGUCGCGGUCGAGUGGCGUGCGGGCGAUCGGCCCUGCCCUGCCCCGGUACUGCAGCAGGGAGGGCCCGGGCUGCGCCCCGAAACUGCCAGGCCCCAGGGGGCCGUGCCCCGACCUGGGCCUCUUUGGAUGCUCCCUGGACUCCUGGCCACCUGUGUACUUUACCUCCGUCCUCCAGCACCUGCUCCAUCACCUGGGCGCUUCAUACUUCCUCCUAACAGGCUGCCGUGUUAGGCAAACAGAAGGAGGAAGGAGGAACUUAGUCCUGGGCCUCCACUCUUGGGCUCUGCUAUUCCUGCCGUCAGGAAUGUCAGCCUCACCCUGAAGCAGAAGAGACUGAAGAAGCUGUGACAUUCAGGCCUUUGCGGACACAUUAAAUGCAAGUGGGUACUUCCUGUCUGUCCAGUGCCAGGACUGGCGCUGCCCCUGAAGGUGAGGCCCAGUGGCAGGGUAGUGAGCCAGGACUCAGGCACGUUACAACCAUGAAGGUGAAGGUUCCGCAGGGCAUCGGGAACAGGCACCACGUGACAUAGUAUG